UUGAACGCUGGCGGCAUGCCUUACACCUGCAAGUCGAACGGCAGCACGGGUGCUUGCACCUGGUGGCGAGUGGCGAACGGGUGAGUAAUACAUCGGAACAUGUCCUGUAGUGGGGGAUAGCCCGGCGAAAGCCGGAUUAAUACCGCAUACGAUCUACGGAUGAAAGCGGGGGACCUUCGGGCCUCGCGCUAUAGGGUUGGCCGAUGGCUGAUUAGCUAGUUGGUGGGGUAAGGGCCUACCAAGGCGACGAUCAGUAGCUGGUCUGAGAGGACGACCAGCCACACUGGGACUGAGACACGGCCCAGACUCCUACGGGAGGCAGCAGUGGGGAAUUUUGGACAAUGGGCGAAAGCCUGAUCCAGCAAUGCCGCGUGUGUGAAGAAGGCCUUCGGGUUGUAAAGCACUUUUGUCCGGAAAGAAAUCCUUGGCCCUAAUACGGUCGGGGGAUGACGGUACCGGAAGAAUAAGCACCGGCUAACUACGUG
rnacentral:rRNA from 1 species